rnacentral:tRNA from 1 species
GUUUUCUUAGUAUAGUAUUACUAAUGACUUCCAAUUAUUAAACCCAGAAUAAACCUCUGGAGAAAACA